rnacentral:pre_miRNA from 1 species
GGAGCCAUAGGGAGGGAUACCAAUCCAACCUUAGGAAAAGAAACCUGCCAUGGGAGUCUUGGAGAUUGGUGACCAUGCUAAUAACUUA